rnacentral:rRNA from 1 species
UUUGUCCUACGGGAGGCAGCAGUGAGGAAUAUUGGUCAAUGGGCGCGAGCCUGAACCAGCCAAGUCGCGUGAGGGAUGACGGCCCUACGGGUUGUAAACCUCUUUUGUCGGGGAGCAAAUUCCGCCACGUGUGGCGGAGUCGAGAGUACCCGAAGAAAAAGCAUCGGCUAACUCCGUGCCAGCAGCCGCGGUAAUACGGAGGAUGCGAGCGUUAUCCGGAUUUAUUGGGUUUAAAGGGUGCGUAGGCGGACUGUCAAGUCAGCGGUAAAAUACGGGGGCUCAACCUCCGCCCGCCGUUGAAACUG